AGUUUAGACAGACAGAAAGACACACACAUUACACACACAUACAUACACACAUAUUACACACACAUAUGGCACACACACAUUUUACACACAUUUAUUGCUCCCCCAAAUGCCAGUCAUUUCAAAGGUGUCAAUGUAGAAAGCUUGCUCAGUUGACUGCCUAUUAAUAUCAUUACAAUCUUUAUAAUUCACAACUGUGAAGACAAAUAGAUAUGGUAGGAAAAGAGAUAAGAGAUAAGUUGAGUGUCCUGUGAAUAUGUUUAUAGAUAUGUACUGUACAUCUGUGUGUAUAUAUUUUUUAAUUUUUUAUUUCAAUGAUUAUUAUUAUUAUCAUUAUUGUGUUUUGUGGUUGAAGGGCAUGGGGUGGGGGAGGUUGAUGGGGAUGGUGGAGGUGCUGGGGGUGUCCUAUUGAGGGUGAAGUGACCUAUUGGGGAGGGGAUUCUUCAUGUAGGCACAUUCAGUCAUAGUUUUGUUUAUUGUAUUAUUAUACAUUUAUUUAUUUUUUCUUAUUUUUAAAACUAUUAUAUAGAACAGUUUACUGUGAUUUUGGAUAUGCACUCAUGUUGACUUAUAUAUUUGAACUUCCUUUUUCACUCAGAGUACAUUUUUUAAAUGUAUUAUUAUUUUAUUAUUACUACUGUACCUACAUUCUUAAAAGCUAAAACAGAAAAAGUGUACUUCUUUUAAAGGAAAAGCCAUAAGAGGGAAAAGCACGAUGGGAUGGGGGAUUGAGGGAUGGGUAGAGAACAGUAGAGUGCUCUAAAAACUAUUAUUGCUGAAAUAACCACUUCCUUUUGUGACUAGAGUCGAAUACUUCCUGUGGCACACAUCAGAGGGCAUGAUAGGUAACCAAAAUGAUUCUGAAGUGUGCCAGGCCUCGCAUUCCCAAUAUCCCCCAAUAGAGUCAAAUAGUUUCUGUGGCACACACUACUGGUCAACAUGGGCUACCAUGGGGGGGAUAUCAGCAGUCAAGAAAAUAGCCUUGCCAGGAUAGACCCCAGGAUAGGCAACCAAAAUGAAUAAUAUAUGUAUGUGUGUUAUAUUAAACAUAGAGGUGGGAGUAAAAUGUAGGCAAGCAAUAAACAUUUCAGAAUAACUACUAGUCGAAUAAGACAUGGGAGAGAUGACGAAUUUUGGCAGAGGUGUAUUUAUAGACUAAUACACUUAAAACAAAUAGCCAAACUGAAAACUGAAGACAUUACUAGUGCCUCCCCCGCGAUCAAUCCGACAUAAAAAAAAAAUGAAAAUGAAACGCAACAUAACAUGAUCAAAUCCCAACUAGCAAGCAAGUCGCAGCAAUGAAGAAUUGAGUGAGUGUGCUUGCGCGUUCACCACGAAGGGGUGGACAUUUGGCCGGGGCGAGCCUUUCGGCACAACACUGGCAAACAGUGCCAAUAUCCUCGAAACACCGGCUUUGAGUGCAUUAUCAUUUUUAUAUAACUGGUUACCAACAUAUUCAAAUAAUAAUUUACAUAUUUAUUAAAAAUUAUAUUUUUAUUAAUUUAUUCAUACUAUUUCAUCCUUCCUCAAGACAUAGUCCCGACACAAAUCUAGAGUUGCUACCCCAGCUGGCUGGUCUUUUGUUUUGUAUCUAUGGAUGUGACCCAGUUGUUCAUUCUAAAUGUUCCAUUGCCAUGCUGGAAGGCAACUUUCUUAUCCCUUGCUUGCUACUGUAGCUAGCCAACUACGUCUAAUUUACAGUCACGUCAAAAAGUGCAGCCAGAAUCACAACAAAGUAACUGCACUUGCAUUUGCUUAAGCUGUUUUCCAGUGACAUGUAUUUGGAACAUCGAUAACAAUGAGCUAAUGGCAUAGAAAAUGUGCUCACUCGUCAGGUCACUGUUCAGAGAAGCUAGCCAACAACACAGCUAAAACAAUCACUUCAAACUGAAGCUGGAAAGAUUGCAAACUAGCUGCACUUCGUUUACCGAGGUAAAGACAGUUUCGGGUUGGAUAUUCGACGGAUAUUCGCCUAGUUUUCCUUACGUUCACCAACAGCAGUAUGUUGACAAAUUGAUUUGUCAACAUAGUGACAAAUCAAUUUUUUCAAAUUUCAAUAGCUCUUUUUAAAACCAUUACUCCUAAAACUUUCUAAACUGGUUGUAGCUAACCUGAUGGCAUAGACACACAUUACACACGCUUUUUUUUGUUGUCAUUUACAUUUCGCAAUAUUUUUAAAAAUGUAUUUACAUUUUUGAAUUUCAAUAGCUCUUGGUUAUAUGACCCACUGACUUCAAACAAGGUUCAGAAUGUACAGUCAGUGGGCCUACACAUUACACACCAUUUAGUUUGUCCAUUUUCAUCUCACAUGUUUUUACAUUAAUUUUUCAAACUUUCAAAUUUCAAUAGCUCCUUGGUCAUGAGACCUACUGAUUUCAAACAAGGUUCAGAAUGUCCACUGACUACCCUUAUGUAGUCAGUGGACUAUAGGUUUUCCAUUGUACUGUAUCUAAUACAUAUUAGCAUUUUACAUACAUUCAUAAGUGUAAUAAUUUUUUAUGACAAUGUGAAAAACUCUCUUGGCUGCUGACUGUCACUUUCAGACAUGCAGAGCAAACUGAAAGGGGAAGGGUAGCUCAUGACUUGAACCACAGGGGUUCUCUGUAAAGAGAGAGUCAUCCAAAAGGCACACCCCUUGACUUUCAGUUGGCACCGUUGACCUGUAUGUAUUCUCUCCUGAUUGGCUCUGUGGUGCACAGUCUGGCAGUCUGACUAAAGUGCCAAAGGUAUGAGGAGAGACAUCCUCCUUUGUAUUUAUGGGAACAAAUAUUUCCUAACACUUUGAAUCCUAUUCUUGGACAGUUAGAAAACACAAUGCUUCAAUGCAACAAUUUUUUUAUUUUUUACUAAUUACUGUCCAUGAGUAACCUCAACCUUGUGGGUCUGUGGAUGUUUGGGCCAAUAAAGUGCCAACUCAAUUCUACCACAGACUAACUAGUCUCUCAUGCCCCUAUGAACACAGGGCAAUAGUUUUUACUCUAAACUAGCCUUUUUUUUUACUGGAGUACACCAACCCUAAUUGGGGCUCUUUUCUUGACACAUAGUAGCAGUUUAUCAGACAAGAAGUCAAGAAGAUCAAAAAGUAGAUUGGCGUAAGGGUGUAUUACGUCCUGUCCUGCCCCAUUGUCAUAUCCAUUCUAGAUAAAAUCAUAGCUGGAAAAUGCCUCUAUGUACGUGUAUACUGUAUGUGGGAAUGUCUUAUGUCCGUCCUACAUGUAGUGUUGAUACAUGGAAUAUUCCUCAACUGCAUAUAUCAUAAAUUGCUAUUGCAAAUAGAAGUACCUGUGAUCUUUGUGAUAUGACUUUCUUUAAUUAAGCACGUACUGAUGAAACUGUCACUUAAUAUUUUUUUCUUUAAGUCUACAGACACUACAUUUAUUCACUCUGUGAUAGGGUUGGAUCCUAUAUGCUACUUUUAUUAUUGUCCUGUAAAUGGUUCAGUGCCUAUAAUUUAGGCUGUGUGUAGAAUGGGGCAUAAAGGAAAUUAACUCUACUAGAUUAUAGUGAUAAGAAAAUCAGCAUAGUUUUGGCCUGUGUAUUCAUUUACCUAUAACUAAUCAGAAUCACAUUAUGUUUACAUAAAAAAGAGAAUACUUAAAAAUGAGAAGAUCCUGCCAUGGAAAAGACAACUGGGUGGACAUAAAGUGGAAAGGAGGGAAAUAACUCACACCAUGCAGCAGGACACCUUCAGCUGGGGGGUAUUUGUAAUGCAGGUUUGAUAGUUAUAUUUUCAAUGAUGAAUGGUUAGCUGUUAUGUGACAAUUGGGUCAAAAAACUCUAUUUUAUCCCCUCCCAAAUUGAUAUAGAACCUUCGCAAAAACACAUGGGGCAACUGAAAAAGAAAUGGCUGAGGAUAUAUUCAAAAUGUCUGAGUUCAACAAAGCCAACAACUGCUUCAUGUGUGCCACUGAUAAAGAACCCUGGAUGUGGGCCAAAGACUGACUGGACAACGGUUCAGAGUGAAGAACACAAACUGGAAGUGAUGUCUUUGUUGUUGAAAAUGUAUGCUAUAUCCCAUCCACACUGAAGAGGCUCUGAAAUGUACAUCAACCAGGGAUAAAGAGAAAGUUAACACAGUGAAAUGUUU